GUUUCAUCCAAUUUGAAGAUAAAUUGACCUUCCAUAAUUGUGAUUUACACGAACGGUUCCAUUUGGAUAGAUUUUGUUCAUUUGAUUCAUUUAAUCUAAUUCGGUACCCAAAUAAUCUCCAAAUUGGAUGAAACUUUGCAUAAAUGAUCUACAUACUAUGUUCUAGACACUGAAUGGUGGAGAUGUAAAAAUGUGACCUAAAAGUGAGCAAACUGAUGAGCACCACACUUUAAUUUCAAAGCGGUGUCCCACUCUGGAAGGGAACUGUAUAUAUAUAUAUAUAUAUAUGUAGUUCCCUUUCAGAGCGGUACUCCCGACUUAAAAUUAAAGUGUGGACCUUCUUAUUUACUCACCUUCAAGUUACGCUAUUUCCACAUCUCGAACCGUACAAUGUCUAGAACAUAGUGUGUAUAUCAUUCAUGCAAAGUUUCAUCUAAGUUUGGAGAUCAUUUGGGACUGAAUUAGAUUAAACUAAAUCAACAGGAACAAAAGUUUCCAAAAGAAAACCGUUCGUAUAAAUCACGAAUUACAGAAGCUCAAAUGAUUUUCAAAUUGGAUGAAACUUUGCAUAAAUGGAUUUACACGACCGUAGUUUUAGACAUGAAAUUUGGAGUUGUGAAAAUGCACCUGAAAGUGAGAGAAAUAAGGAGGUCCANACUUUAAUUUCGAAAGUGGGACACCGNUCNGGAGGAACUGUAUAUAUAUAUAUACACACACACACACACACGCACACACACACACAGUUUCUAUCUAGUACGGAGCCCCGCAUUAAAAUUAAAGUGUGAGGCUCCUUAUUUGGAUCACUUUCCUGUCACUAUUUCUCAUCUCCACCGUUCAGUGUCUAGAACAUAGUGUGCAAAUCAUUUCUGCAAAAUUUCAUCCAAUUUAGAGAUUAUUUGGGUACCAAACUAGAUUAAAUGUAUCAAUAAAACAAAAUAGAUUCAAAUGGAACCGUUCUUGUAAAUCAUGAAUACGGAAGCCCAAAUAAUCUUCAAAUUAGAUGAAAAUUUGUAGAAAUAAUCUACACACUAGUAUCUAGAUAUUAAACAAUGCGGAUGUGAAAAUGUAACCGGAAAUUAAGUGAUCUAAAUAAGGAGUCCCACACUUUAAUUUCAAAGCGGGGCUCCGCUUUGGAUAUAGAAACUUUAUAUAUAUAACCAACAAUAUAUAUGCAAAUGCUUUUUAUUUAUUUUCUAUCAAAAGGACGUAAGACCUUAUAUUUAAUAAAAAGUAGUAAAAGAACAUGAACACAAUUCGUCCGCAAUGGCUACGUAAGCCUAGAAUCAUGCAAAAUUACUUAGAAGUACUUGAGCAAUUUCUAUGUUAUGAUGGAGGAGACUGCCCUAACUUAAAAAAAAAAAAAAAAAAAACCUUAGGAGCACCCUACGCAGAGGGGUCAGGCAUCCUUAAGAUCCAACCUACCUAAAAAGCCAUUGAAGCACUAAUGUUCUAAUUCAAACAAAAUUAGCCCAUAAAGAAACAAGAGGCCCAAGCCCCCAAGACAAUUUUGGAACCCUAGCAAACUAGGUCUAAAACUUAGACCUAGAAAUAUGUUAUCGUCGGUCACCACUCGCAAUAUAGGCAGUCACCGCCGCAGCGUCAUCAGUCACUAUAGUGCCAUUGACACUGACAAAUACCCGGAAGAUGUCAUGGAGGUCAGCGACCCCAGAUGUAUAAUUGCUGCCAUAAUUAACCACUACUAACCCAACCAAUGACACCGUCGUCAGAUACCAUCCCACCGUCGUCAACCUUCACGGCCUUAAUCAAGCCGCUCUCCAAACCUGACAUGUUCUUCCCAGAGCAAGAACAAAUCAUGUCCACCAAAUGUAGCACAAGGGAAACUUGAGGAUUCCAUUGCGCUCUGACCACCAUUCGGCUUGCAACCACGGUCACCACAAGGGGGAUCCAGCCACCAUGGGACCUCGCCACAAUGACAACCACUCGGUUCCUCCACCACGCAUGCAAAGAAUCGAAGAACCCAUAAUGAAUCUGCCUCCCACGACGCCACUAUAACCAGGAGAUGAGAGCAAAUAGGUGUCUGCAACAACUGCCUGAAUCUAGCUAUGGUUAUCAUCAUCAAACACGCCGUCGCCAUCGCUAUCACUAAACCUACCGCUAGAGAGGAGGCCUAGAGUUAGAGCGAGAGAGAGAGGAGACUAGCCAUAGAACACCAAACCGGUUUUCUUUUAGUAUGCAAUGGUUAAUAAUGAACUUCUUCCAAACAAAGUAAACUAUUAAACAAGAUAUUUUUAAGAAGAAUAGAAGUGAUGAAGUGAAAGUAAAUUGAGAAUAGAGAAUCGUGAAAGAUGUGUAUCUCAUCAUUGAUAGGAGCCCUUUAUAUAGGGAAUUACACAUUACCAGUAUGGUAAGGAUAUGAAUACAUAGAUCUAGUUUAACUACAUAUCCUAUUGGCAUAAGGCAAAGGCACACAUAAAGAAUAUCUAGAAAGAUAUGGAAUAUCCUAGAACACUCCCCCUUGUGCCGCGCAUUGAUAUGCCAAUGGUGCUAAUCUGUUGCCUCGUCAAAAACCUCGUCAAGUCACAAAAACCCUGUGGGAGAAAAACUGAACCUUGAUCGUAGGAGAAAAAGAGUACAACGCACCGGCCUACUUCAUUGAGAUGAUACUCCCCCUGAUGUGAACAUUAUUCAGAGAGACUUGAUAGCCGACGCAUGCCUAUACUUUUCACAUGUUUCUCAAAAGUAGACUUAGGUAAGGACUUAGUAAAUAAGUCUGCUGCGUUUCCUUCGGAACUAACUUGGUUCACUUGAAUGUUGAGAAACGCCUGUUGCUGUUGGUUGUAGAAGAACUUAGGUGAAAUGUGCUUUGUAUUAUCACCCUUGAUGUAACCUAACUUCAUUUGCUCAAUACAAGCUGCAUUGUCCUCAUAAAUGCAUGUAGGUCUAUCAGUUGUAGAACUUAAUCCACUAGUUCCUCUAAUGUGCUUAAUGAUUGAUCUCAACCAAACACAUUCCCAAACAGCUUCAUGCAAAGCUAUAAUCUCUGCAUGUUUGAAGAUGUCGCCACUAGAGUCUGCUUAGUAGACCUUCAAGAUAUCGCCAUAUUUCCAAUGGUGAAAACAUAACCAGUUUGAGAACGUCCUUUAUGAGGAUCAGAUAAAUAUCCGGCGUCGGCGAAACCCACCAACGUAUUGUUGGGUGUCUCGGCAUAGGACAAGGCGGCGGUGGCGUGCACGGCAUUGGACCCGUGUCCAGCAGCCGUACCGGCGGCGUCCAUGGCGGCAGUCCGGUCCCUUGGUGGAUCGGUGCCGUGUCUUCCAUGAGCCAUAGGACCAUCUUCUGUCCUUCUUGAAUCAGUGUAGGGAAAGAACAGUCCCAAAUCAAUGGUACCUUUAAGAUAUCGAAAGAUGUUCUUAACUCCGAUCCAAUGACGUUGGGUUGGCGCUGAGCUAAAUCUAGCUAACAAGUUGACUGAGAAUGCAAUGUCUGGUCAAGUGCAUUGAGCUAAGUACAAUAAAGCGCCUAUUGCACUAAGGUAUGGAACCUCUGCGCUCAAGACCUCUUCGUUGUCCUCUUUCGGACGGAAUGGAUCUUUAGUUAUAUCCAGACUUCGACCAAUCAUGGGAGUGCUAACAGGAUGCAUCUUGUCCAUAUUAAAUCGCCUGAGCAUCUUUUGGACAUAUGCAGUCUGAUGGAUAAGGAUCCCACAGACUCGGUGCUCUAGUUCAAGACCUAGGCAAAAACGAGUCUUCCCAAGAUCUUUCAUCUCAAACUCGGAUUUCAGCUAAGCCGCGGUCUCUUUGAUUUCAUCAAGAGUACCGAUAAUGUUCAUGUCAUCGACAUNNNNN
rnacentral:lncRNA from 1 species